CUCGUGGCUGUUGCUGCUGCUAUCAUUUACUACCGUAAGCAAAGGGAAACACAGUGAAGCAAAAUAAUAAGACUGAUGUUAUGAAAUACUCAUCUGUUAAUCAGACUGAGGCUGCUGCUGAUGGAGCGUCCCAGGAAAAGACUGACACUGAAACACCACCGUAACAUUAUUUACUAUCCUAUUUGUAUUGAAAGCCAGUUAAGCAGUAAACCAGCAAUAAACUAAGAAACAAAACACAUUACCAGCAGCAGAACAGCGAGUGCUAGAGGUUUUUCAGUAUUUAGUAGAGAUGUGCAUCUCAUAACUGAUGCGAUACGCAUCUCGAUGCACAGCCAAUGAUACGAUACACUGAAGAUACACAUGAAGCAGCUAGCGAUGUGAUGCAAUGCGAUACACCCCUGUUACGAUGUGAUCUGAUUUCAAUUCAAUUCGAUUUGAUUCAACACAAUAUGAUGCAAUGGAUGCAAUAUGAUUGCUUUUAUUUCUCUGGUUCAUACAGACAGCAGAUCAUAAAUUAACUUAAGUGUCUUCUAACUUCAAGUUUCAAGUUUACUAAAUAAGCCAGGCUUAUUUCAGUUAGUCUGACUCAUUGCCAAAUGAUUUGGUUGCAUCAAUCUAAUUUAACAUAGAUCAAGCUCAUUCACUGUGGGAACUUAUUCUGGGAAACUAGCCUGGUCCGGAGCAGACUAACUGUCAGACUAAGCUGAGCUCCUCUAACACUGACCAAUAAAACACAAUGAUAUGACCACUGGCUCUCUCACAUAUUACUGUAAACCCCAACAAAUUAUGUUAACUCAAACUGUUUGAGGAAACCG